rnacentral:rRNA from 1 species
UACGAAGGGGGCUAGCGUUGCUCGGAAUCACUGGGCGUAAAGCGCACGUAGGCGGCUUUCUAAGUCAGGGGUGAAAUCCUGGAGCUCAACUCCAGAACUGCCUUUGAUACUGGAGAGCUUGAGUCCGGAAGAGGUGAGUGGAACUCCGAGUGUAGAGGUGAAAUUCGUAGAUAUUCGGAAGAACACCAGUGGCGAAGGCGGCUCACUGGUCCGGUACUGACGCUGAGACGCGAAAGCGUGGGGAGCAAACAGG